UCCCGAGCGUUNUCCGGAUUUAUUGGGCGUAAAGCGAGCGCAGGCGGUUUGAUAAGUNUGAAGUUAAAGGCUGUGGCUCANCCAUAGUUCGCUUUGGAAACUGUCAAACUUGAGUGCAGAAGGGGAGAGUGGAAUUCCAUGUGUAGCGGUGAAAUGCGUAGAUAUAUGGAGGAACACCGGUGGCGAAAGCGGCUCUCUGGUCUGUAACUGACGCUGAGGCUCGAAAGCGUGGGGAGCGAACAGGAUUAGAUACCCUGGUAGUCCACGCCGUAAACGAUGAGUGCUAGGUGUUGGGUCCUUUCCGGGAUUCAGUGCCGCAGCUAACGCAUUAAGCACUCCGCCUGGGGAGUACGACCGCAAGGUUGAAACUCAAAGGAAUUGACGGGGGCCCGCACAAGCGGUGGAGCAUGUGGUUUAAUUCGAAGUAACGCGAAGAACCUUACCAGGUCUUGACAUCCCGAUGCUAUUUCUAGAGAUAGGAAGUUACUUCGGUACAUCGGUGACAGGUGGUGCAUGGUUGUCGUCAGCUCGUGUCGUGAGAUGUUGGGUUAAGUCCCGCAACGAGCGCAACCCCUAUUGUUAGUUGCCAUCAUUCAGUUGGGCACUCUAGCGAGACUGCCGGUAAUAAACCGGAGGAAGGUGGGGAUGACGUCAAAUCAUCAUGCCCCUUAUGACCUGGGCUACACACGUGCUACAAUGGUUGGUACAACGAGUUGCGAGUCGGUGACGGCGAGCUAAUCUCUUAAAGCCAAUCUCAGUUCGGAUUGUAGGCUGCAACUCGCCUACAUGAAGUCGGAAUCGCUAGUAAUCGCGGAUCAGCACGCCGCGGUGAAUACGUUCCCGGGCCUUGUACACACCGCCCGUCACACCACGAGAGUUUGUAACACCCGAAGUCGNUGAGGUA
rnacentral:rRNA from 1 species